CUUCCAGACUCCUACGGGAGGCAGCAGUGGGGGAUAUUGGACAAUGGGGGAAACCCUGAUCCAGCGACGCCGCGUGAGUGAAGAAGUAUUUCGGUAUGUAAAGCUCUAUCAGCAGGGAAGAAAAUGACGGUACCUGACCAAGAAGCCCCGGCUAACUACGUGCCAGCAGCCGCGGUAAUACGUAGGGGGCAAGCGUUAUCCGGAAUUACUGGGUGUAAAGGGAGCGUAGACGGCUGUGCAAGUCUGGAGUGAAAGGCGGGGGCCCAACCCCCGGACUGCUCUGGAAACUGUAUGGCUGGAGUGCAGGAGAGGUAAGCGGAAUUCCUAGUGUAGCGGUGAAAUGCGUAGAUAUUAGGAGGGACACCAGUGGCGAAGGCGGCUUACUGGACUGUAACUGACGUUGAGGCUCGAAAGCGUGGGGAGCAAACAGGAUUAGAUACCCCAGUAA
rnacentral:rRNA from 1 species